GAUGAUAGUUUGACGCUUGACAAGCUAGGUGAAGGCUUGGAAAGGAAGCGGGUCAAACGAAGCAAAUAAGAAGGAAAAGCGUACUUCGGAUGCGAGGUGAAUGUCGAGAGUCCCGGAUGAAGAUCAAGCAUCGAGCAAGAACCGAACACACGUUAAACAAAGCUUCCGCAACGUUGUUUUGUCGUUAUUCUAAACGGCGAAUUAAAUCACAUUAUGUAUAUCACUUAAAUUGUAAAAGUUUUUAACAACCCGUAUUUCCGAUGUAUAUGUAAUCAUUAAUUACAUGAUUAUUUCGCUAAAUAUACGUUAAACCUUGAUUUAUAAGAACGGGUGUUACA